rnacentral:rRNA from 1 species
AUGGCGGAGGAACCAUCCGCCAAGCGUCAUCAUGCCGAGACGUCGGACAAGAGGAGCAACCUCGUCGACAUUAACGUCCCCGGCGAGAAGCGCGACUACACCAGAAUGCUCAAAGGGGUUGAGAUCCACGACAAGGAGACGCUGGAGAUCGUCUGCACCAGCGAACCAGACAAGGCCGGCGAGGUGAUCUCCAGGCUCUGGAGGAAGCUUGGCGGCAGGAUUCAUAGGAUCAUCGGCGUUGGUGUGCACUACACCAACGAAGAUGAACCUCCCCAGAUGGCGGCAGUCCUGCAGUUGUGCGUCGAUGAACUCUGCUUGGUGUACCACAUCGCAGCAGCCACAAAAUGGUGA